rnacentral:lncRNA from 1 species
UUCAUUGUAUCCUCUCCGCUUUUGUUAGAGUUCUUGACUUCCUUGAGAAUUGCCUCCAUUGUCCUUUCCUACAACAAGGCUAACCCAAUGGUUUGGGCUAGUGUGUACGGUCGAAACAUGGUGACUUGAUUUUUUAAUUGCCUCUUUCAAGCCACUAAUGAAACAUUGAACAAAAAAUGCCUUUGACAAGACUAGUUCUAGCUAUCAAUGCUUCAAACUACUCUUGGUAUGCCUUAAUUGUAGAAACCUAUUUCAAUUUGGUUAUUUGCCCAAUAAGGCUGUCAUAAACACUAGGACCAAACUUAGAAACAAUAUCUAUAGAAAAUUGUGUCCUAUUGAUUUCCAUGUUACUAGCCUUGUACCCUUGAAACCAUUCCAAGGCCCUUCCUUCUAAAUGUAAAGGAGCCAAUCCUACCUUCUCUUGGUUCCAAUUCCAUUAAUUUUAAAAAAUCUAUCACAUUUGUAAAUCCAUCCACAAGGAUUCUCACCUUCAAAAUUUGGAAAAUUGAGUUUGGAAAACUUGGUUUGAAAGGAGUUUGUAUCGUAUGAGUGAUAGCCUGUACUGCUUCUAUUAAUUGAAGCAUUUUUCCAUGUCUUUCCCAUUAUACUCUCCCUAUUUUAUAUAGGCUACUGAAUAGAAAGAGAAAUUGAAUAAAGUAGAAUCUAAAUAAAAUAAAAACUAAUCUUAAGGAUACUUUAUUCCCUAAAUUAAAUAGAAACUAAUUAAGAAUAGAAACAAAAGAUUGAGGGAUCUGAGGAUCCUUUAUUUGGGUUUGUUCGGGUUGUAACAACAAUUGAGAGCGUUCUGCCUUUUGUACUGCAAUGCUUCAAGAAAAGGGACACCAGAUUUUGAAACCGCCCAUCUGUCAGUCAUGGGUGGAAAUCUGGUACCCCUAAGUGAAAAAUUCAGAGCUCUUUUAAGGCUUGAAUAAGGCUGUAGAUUUUCGAGUUCCUUAGUAAUUGUUCUCCUAUAAUCGAGGGUUGUAUGUUUAUUUAUCCUUUUCAAUAUAUAUAUAUUUCCUUUUUCGUAUAGAUAUCAUUUCUGUGUAUACAUGUAAUUGAUUGAUACAUUAUUUUAUUCCUUUUCAGUACUUUACAAGCCGCUCCAUGUUUGCUACCCAUUCGCCAUUUUACACCACUAAGCAAUUAAACUGCAAUGCUGCUACAAAUUUUGAGCUGCUUAUAAAUAUAUGAUCAGAAUUUCAAGUUCAGUUAUCAUCCAGGAAACCUGAUGGCUAUUGCAUUAUGCUGAAGUUAAUACCAGUUUGGUACAUUCUCAUAAAAUUAUGAGUAUGGUAUUCUUAAUCAUCUGAUUGGGUUACUUAUAUAUCCCAGACUUCUAUAUAUGUUGCGAUACGUUCCUUGUUGUUCUGAUAAAUUGCAUAUAACAAAUUAUAAGAGUAUAUAUAUAGUUCUGAAUUUACUUUCCUGUGGUAUCAAGCCAUGCAGCGAUUCUGCAGUUUCCCUUACAUCAAGCAUGGCAGAUAUUUUAAGGCAGAGGUAUGGUAGUUACUAACCUCUAGAGCAUGAAAGAUGACUAUAUCAAUAUACUGAAGAUGGUGUCGGUGAAGAGCUCCUCUGGGCUGGUCAGACCAAGGCAGUGAUAGUGCUGGAAGGAAAAACGGUGGGUGGUGAGGAACGAUAACCGUGUGCGUGUUGGUGGUCGAUGGUGGCAGUAAGUGUGGGGACGGCUGAAUCUGGCCAUGACAAUAGCGACGGCAUUGCUGGCAGCACUGGUGGAGGUUGUGGCGGUGACAUCUUGAGCUCCUCAUUCAGCUUCUGCAACGCCCUACAAAGUAUUAAAUAUAUUCAUCAUCAAAAUCACCAUUAUUAGAGGGCGCCGUUUAUCUUUAAGUGUUUUAGUGUUUGCUUUUAUAACUAUCUUAAUGUUAUUCAGUGUGAAAUAAAAUUAUUUUUAUAUACCAAAAAAUAUUUAUUAUGUUUUUUCUUCUUUUACAUUAUUAAGAUUAAGACAAAAAUAUUUGAAAACUAAUAAUAUGGGAAAAAAAAAAUAGUUUAAUAUAUUUCCAUUAUCCCAAAAUACUAUAAUUUAUUACAAUAAUAAAAUUUUUGCGAUCAUUAACUAUGUAGUUAGUAAAGAAUUUGAUCAUUAGAUAGCGAUUAGAGUUUCUAAUUAGAUUUAGAGUGCGUCGGAUAGUGAUUUUAAGAGCUAUUUCCAACAUUUAUAAUAUUUAGAAAUUUUCAUUCUUUAAGUAUUAAAAAUACUAUAAACACUUUUUAUAAUAACUAUCAAACACACUUUUAGAUUUGGUAGUGAAGAAAUAUUAGAAAUUUUCUAUGUUAGGUUUCAUUGAUUAUUUAUUAGUUUUUAUCUAUUAUAUUUUUGGAUUUAUAAAUUUUUAUUAAAAUGUGAAAUCCAUUGUUGAAAUUAAUUUAUUAUUUUUUCAUUUUCAAUUUUUUUUAUAAAAAAAAUGGAUUAUAAUUUUUGAUAUUUUUUUAAAAAUUAUUUAGAAAUAAUUGAUUGUAGUGAAUAUUUAAAAGAGUAUGAGUUAUAUUUUAGAAUUAUAAUUUAAAAUUUUACCCUAAAGUUAUGUACGGUAAAAGCAUAAAUUUAAAAUUUUUUAUUAAAUUCAUGUAAAGAAAAGAAAAAAAUAUAUAUACCAUAGGAAAUUGAAAUUUUGAAAAUUUUUACUCAACAAUUUAAAUUGUAUUUCAAAGGGUAAAAUAAUUAUAAAAAAAUUAUGUAAAGAAUACAAUAGAAAAUAAUACUGAUAUAUUUAUAAUUUCAUAUUUUUAAUCAUGAAUAAUAUUAAUAAAAAAUAAGUAUUACUUAUAAAUGAUAAAUUCUAGAACAAUUUUGCAAAUAGCACUAAAUAUGAUAUAUAUAUAUAUAUAUAUAUUUUAUACUUUUUUAAUAGUAAUUAUUUGAAUGUCAUGUUAGGGUAAGGCAGUGUGUGUAUGUGAAACUCUGGAUUUACCUUCGCGUAGCAUCAAACGACGUGGUGAUUGAGUAGAUUCCCUUACAUCAACUCCUGCAUUUAAAUUGUCGUUUGAUGUCAAGAACGAAUUAAAGUCAACUACAUUCUAUAGAAACUUCAACUGGAAAUAGGAUUAGUAGCUAACCUCUACUGCAGCAUGAAAGAUGAGAGUACCAAUGCGCUGAGGAUGGCCUUGGCUUAUUAGGCGACUUCGGACCAGGACCGGGGGAGUCGGAUGCUUGCAUGGAGGACUUUGUGAAAUCUGGGCUCGACCGAACGUUGGUGGGCGCCACCUCUAGAUCAGGAAUGUGCAUGAUCUUUGGCCAAUCUGGGCCUCCUCCCUCCUUGCUGCAUCUCUCCAUCAGCAGUGGGCAUCCUUGAAUGACCAAAUGUUGAAGGAAGGGGGAGACGCCUUCCUUGGGCAAGCGCUUGAUUUUGGGGCAGUACUCAAUAUAAAGAUCCGUGAGGGACGUGAGACUUGUUAGCACAUCCUCGGGACCAAGGGCCUCAAGGCUGGUGCAGGAACUGAUGGUCAAGCAUUCAAGCGUUUUGGGGAGUCCUCCAUGGGGCAACGUCACAAGGCUGGGGCAGCUUUGAAUAGACAAUAGUUUGAGGAAAGUCAAACCUUGGAAUGGUGCUGCUUCUUCACACAAAGACAAUAGAUCCUUGCAAUGCCGAAUGUGCAAAGCCCUGAGAGAGGGAAGGUAAGGCCACUUUGGGAAGGAGGUGGCAUUUGAGAAGUUGGAAAUUACCAAGGAGCAAAGAGAACUGCUGUCAGGUAUUUCGCCUAUUAGUUUUCCACCGUGACAUGAUUGGUCCACUGCCAAAUGCUGAAGACGUCGAAAGCAACCCGGGUUUGGGAGGGCGGUCACUAACUCACACCCAAUAAUCUCCACCUUCUGCGGUGCAAACACUUGUGGCAGUGCUUGCAGCUUAGGGCAAGAAACAAUUUUCAAUUCCAAGAGUUUAGAAAAGGAGGAAUUCGCUUCAUUCAAGUCUUCCAAAACAAGAUUGUCAAUGAGUAUCAGGAACUCCAGAGAUUGGGUUCCUGGGAGAACCUUGAGGGAUUUGCACCUUUUGAUCUUCAAAUCUCUUAGCUCGGAAAAGUAGGGUAACUCUGUUAGCUUAGGGCAAUCCACGAUCUUGAGCGUAUCAAUGGAAACUUCAUUAGCUUGGGAAAGUUCCUCUUGCGAUUCGCCAAAUACUGAUAAUCCCUGCAACUCCUGCAUCUCUUUCAGGAACAGCCGUCGAAGGUGGGGUAAGUGGCCAAUUGAGAAAAAUUUGCAUUUUGUGCAAUGGUUCAAGGAAAGGGACACCAGAUUUUGAAGCGCCUUCUCUUUCAUCAAAAGAGGAAAUCUGGUACCC